CUGCUUUUGCUUCUUCCUCAUUUUUCUCUUUCCGCUGCCAUGUAAGAAGUGCCUUUUGCCUCCCACUAUCAUUCUGAGGCCUUCCCACCCAUGUGGAACUCUGAACUCACAAGAAAAUAAGGAAGACCUCCUGGAGGGAAAACAAGCAAGAACUGAAAACAAGUGCCGUCAGUGAAUGGAAUGAGUAGAGACGGGGUUUCACCGUGUUAGCCAGGACGGUCUCAAUCUCCUGACCUCGUGAUCCGCCUGCCUUGG
rnacentral:lncRNA from 1 species